GAGUUUGAUCCUGGCUCAGAUUGAACGCUGGCGGCAUGCCUUACACAUGCAAGUCGAACGGCAGCACGGGAGCUUGCUCCUGGUGGCGAGUGGCGAACGGGUGAGUAAUGCAUCGGAACGUAUCCUGGAGUGGGGGAUAACGUAGCGAAAGUUACGCUAAUACCGCAUAUUCUGUGAGCAGGAAAGCGGGGGACCUUCGGGCCUCGCGCUCUUGGAGCGGCCGAUGUCGGAUUAGCUAGUUGGUGAGGUAAAGGCUCACCAAGGCGACGAUCCGUAGCAGGUCUGAGAGGAUGAUCUGCCACACUGGAACUGAGACACGGUCCAGACUCCUACGGGAGGCAGCAGAGGGGAAUAUUGGACAAUGGGCGAAAGCCUGAUCCAGCCAUGCCGCGUGUGUGAAGAAGGUCUUCGGAUUGUAAAGCACUUUAAGUUGGGAGGAAGGGCAGUAAGUUAAUACCUUGCUGUUUUGACGUUACCGACAGAAUAAGCACCGGCUAACUCUGUG
rnacentral:rRNA from 1 species